ACGUCUCUUUUUCUCUCGUCGCGUGUGACUCCGGCGCUCUUCCCUUUACGAAUCCUCGCAGAACUGUUCACUCGGUCAGCUUAGGCACCGCGCAUAUAUGAUUGCUGCGGCGAGUGUCGCGGCGUGACCCGCUGGCAUCAAGCAUAUACACACACGCACACACGCACGCAUCCAUGCCGAGGGGCUACACGGCACAGUCCGUGAAACGACGCCUGCUGCCCGGCUGCCUUUUCGCUGGCGCAAGCGACGGUGCCACUUCGAAUAGCGUAACGAAUGGGGCAGCGAUCUCCGACAGCCCUUUCUGAGCCUCCCUCGCGAAAUGCAUGUACGUCCGCUCGUCGUCGUCUACCGCCAUCAAUGCCACCUCUCGGGAAUUCAGCGCCGCAGCGCGGCCUUCCCUGAACAGGUCACUUGCCGCGGCUUUCAUCCGACGCUUGCUAGGCCGCUUAUCACCGACCGGGCAUCACAUUACGCUGCCUCGCAAUGUCGCGCUACCUCUGCUGGCACUGUCGAUGUAAAAGGUGCCCACGGUGAACUACGCGCCGCUCGUGCCCCUUGAUGGCUUCGACGUGUAACUCAGCUACCUGCAGCGGCCGCCGGGUGCUGCGUGGUCGGUGCUGGUGCAGCACGAGGGCGCCGUGAGCCGGCUCAACAUUACCGCUCAGCAAACUUGCCGCAUCUCAUCGAUGCUCUGCAGCCCGCUGCGCAUCGGCGCGGGCUUUCUGCCCUCGUGGACACUGCACGUGGUGGAGAAGGACUGCGCAGACUGCACCGACCGACAGACGCACGACAGCGCUGUGGAGGGCGUGGAGUUGCAGCCACAGCACGCCGUGUACGCGACGUCGUCUGCACCGCUGGGCCGCGUCGGGCCGAUGCUGCUGGCGAUGACGAGCGUGACGGACGACGUGAAUGUGCGCACGGAGCUGCCGCAGUGGGAGUGGCUGCGGCACGUGUACGGUGAAGGGUUUCCGACCGUGGGUGGCGCUGGCGAGGGGGCUGCGCAGCCGCGGACACCGUAUCUUGCCGUGAUGGGCAUCCCGUCGACGGAUCAGCCGGCGCGUGCUGCGCUGCGUGAGGCACAGCGCAGGACAUGGCUGACGUACCAGGAGGUGGCGCGCACGGAGAACCACUUCGAUGCCGCGCUGCUGGCGCUGUACGUCUUCGCCGCGGUGGAGCCCAAGGUGGCCCCGAAUGCAUCAGAGAGCUCUUCAGCAUCCGCGCACAACGGCACGUCAGCUGCCGAGCCGAGGCGAGGGCGCCUGAGUGCGCUGCUGCCGACGACGGCGGAGUACAAGGCUGCCACCGAGGCGCUUCUGGCGGCGACUGCGCAGGCCGAGGGCAUUGACGACUUGGCCGACGAGGGCAUUGUGCAGCGCCGGAUGGAGCUCCGCCGCGACUGGAACAUCGCUGCCGUCGAGGACACACCGUGUGCGGAGGUGGUCAGCCGCCGCGUGACUGUCGGCGCGGAGACGUCUGCGCUGUCGUACCUGAGCGGCGCCCUGUCGCUCCCCGUGACACCCGCGUUCACGUCGCCGGCGGAGUACGUCUGCCACGCGUCGUCUGCGCUGUGGCAGGAGGCGCUGACGCACCGCAACGUUGUGUGGAUCGACAUGAUGACGGACCGCCGGCCGACCACGAACAAGACGCUUGGCGACAUAGGUAACUGGGGCCUUCCCGUGGAGGUGGGAAUGAGCCAGAAGCUGAUCCUGUGGCUGGAGUACGCGUACCACGCCUUCAAGGAUGUGCCUUUCAUCAUCAAGGGCGAUGACGACAGUUACAUGAAGGUGCCGCAGUUCCUGAGCGAUGUGCGGUACGUGCGCAACGGGGUGAAACGCGGGCGUUUUCCACCGCCGCCGCCACGGCAUCCGGUGAUGACCGGGGCGGGAGGCUCGCCGACCACACAGGCCGCGACGCCGAGGAGAGUCGUGCACAACUACGAUCGGCUGCCAGUGGAUAGAACGAAGUGCUUCUACUGGGGCAGCGGCCGCCGCAUGCUGGGCGUUCGCUUCAAUGCGGGCAUGCUGUUCAUGCUGCACCGCCGCCUCGCACAGGUUAUACUGGAGCCGCCACAAAGCAGCUCCGACGCCGAUCUGCGCAUGCUGGCGGUGGCAGACUACUCCAACGAUCGGAGGUCGCUGUACCGUCAAGCGGGUCUGCAUCACGAAGACGUGAUGAUCGGCGUGACACUCCGGAAUCGAUAUAAUCGCUCGAUGGAGCUGUGCGAUGAUGAGACGAUCUGGUACGUGAAGGAAGGCUACGACCGCUUCCACGACUUGCAUCGCGGGAAGCUGAAUACCGUGACGUGGUCAACCGUCGUAGCACACCGCUGCCGACCAGCCGACGCGUAUUUCUUGCACUACUACUUCCAGAACGAGUACAGCGCCUCCACCGUGGAGAUAGCGCGCGGGGACGAUCGGGAGGAGCUGGCGAUCGAGGCGGCAGCGGAGUGGGUGGCAGAGCAGCGUAACGCGUUUCCUGACAGUGUACCAGGGUGGGACGAUCUGCCGUCGGUGCUGUGGACGCAUGGGGCAUCCGCGGCACCGGAGUAUGUUGUUGCGACCGGUGACGACGUCGCCGUGUACAACUACAGCUACCAGUACUGGAGGGACAGCUCUACCUUUGUUUGGAACGGCUACAGAUCGAGUCGGUGAGACGAGGCGAGGCGCAACCGAACCGAGCGAGGGACAAGCUGCACGGCGGCCACGACGCCAACGUCACCAGGCCGAGGUGGCUGGGACCACUGCACAUGAAGAGCCCUGCGUGUGUGCGUGUGCUUGUCGGACGGUGAGCUUCGCGGGAGGGCCCCACGGAACACGUCGCGCCGCUACCUUGCACGCCGGACACGAGCAUUUUCGCGCGUGAAGCCGUUGAUCAGCAGCGGCAGAACUGCCAUGGCAACGGAGCGGGGCGCCGUCUUGGUGAACGCCGUCUCUCGGAAUGUCUUGCCGGCCCGCUUUGGUGCCGGAGGGUCUCGCCCCUGCUUCGGAUGGCGACCGCUCGGGCUGCGGACUUCGCCCUCUCCAUAUCCGGCAUCCACAGCCGGCCCACCGCAGCUGUACACAUGUAGCUCACACACUUGUGUGUCUGUGUGCUUCGCACGCGGCGGCGAACGGGUGGCGCAGGAGGGAAGCAAGCUGAAGGACGGCACGGCUAGAUGCUGCCUGUAGUGCCGCGCACAUGCUUGUGCAGUUGCGCUUGUAUGACCUCCGUGUAGAAAAGGACGAUAGACAAGAACACCCGAAGCCAUCACUCCCCACCCCCUCCACACCCCCAUCGCUGCGGCGAACAGCAGACGAGCGCGACGACGAGCGGAGCGCGAUAUCCGGCCUCCGUUAUUGUCCCGCCGUGCCCGCAUGCCCGCACCGUUGCUGGCGCGUGCCCCUUCCUCUGCUGCGCACAUUGCGGCUGUGGCACCCCCUCUCCCCCUCACACACGCACAUAUAACACAGAAGGCGUUUCCGGGGGGGUGCGGAGGACACACAUACGCCUCAGGGCGCGGUAUCGCAGGGCCCGGUGCACUCCCCCACCCCCUCCUAUCCCACGCCCAUGCCGAACCGCCUCUCGUCAUGACGGUGCCCGGUGCCUGCGACGUGGCGAGGAUAACGCGAUCCAUCGCAGCAGAUGCCGGCGGUGAGCACGCUUGCGCCAUCCAUAUGAUGGGCAACGCGCCAGCGCGGCCCACACCCGCGGCCCUCGCACGGCCCACUCGUGCGGGGUGCCUGAGCCCCCGCGAUGGGGCGGGGCGGGAUGCACCAGGGGUGGUGACCGGCAUGGUUGGGGAGCGGGUGUGAGGCCGCCCAGCGGAGCGGCUAGGUGGAUGUGUGUGGGCAGCGUUUUGGGGGCGGAGGCGGUGCUCCGCCGACGGCGUCGGGUGCGGGGAGUGGGGAGGGGUGUGAGUCGAGCGGCGUGUGGACCUCGUGUUGUGUGGCGGAGCAACGCCCACUAACGAGCGAAGGAUGCUGCUGCGUGAUGUGGUGCAUGUGUCUGCGUGUAGGACUUCUCUCGCACAUCGCGCCCACCCAAG
rnacentral:misc_RNA from 1 species